UUUUCUCAAGGAAGAAGACCUGACGGUACUUGAGGAAUAAGCCACGGCUAAUUCCGUGCCAGCAGCCGCGGUAAUACGGGAGUGGCAAGCGUUAUCCGGAAUUAUUGGGCGUAAAGCGUCCGCAGGCGGCCCUGUAAGUCUGUCGUUAAAGCGUGGAGCUUAACUCCAUUUAAGCGAUGGAAACUACAGGGCUUGAGUGUGGUAGGGGCAGAGGGAAUUCCCGGUGUAGCGGUGAAAUGCGUAGAUAUCGGGAAGAACACCAGUGGCGAAGGCGCUCUGCUGGGCCAUAACUGACGCUCAUGGACGAAAGCCAGGGGAGCGAAAGGGAUUAGAUACCCCUGUAGUCCUGGCCGUAAACGAUGAACACUAGGUGUCGGGGGAAUCGACCCCCUCGGUGUCGUAGCCAACGCGUUAAGUGUUCCGCCUGGGGAGUACGCACGCAAGUGUGAAACUCAAAGGAAUUGACGGGGGCCCGCACAAGCGGUGGAGUAUGUGGUUUAAUUCGAUGCAACGCGAAGAACCUUACCAGGGUUUGACAUCCUGCGAACCCCCUGGAAACGGGGGGGUGCCUUCGGGAACGCAGUGACAGGUGGUGCAUGGCUGUCGUCAGCUCGUGUCGUGAGAUGUUGGGUUAAGUCCCGCAACGAGCGCAACCCACGUCGUUAGUUGCCAGCAUUCAGUUGGGCACUCUAGCGAGACCGCCGGUGAUAAACCGGAGGAAGGUGUGGAUGACGUCAAGUCAUCAUGCCCCUUACAUCCUGGGCUACACACGUACUACAAUGCUACGGACAAAGGGCCGCAAGCUCGCGAGAGUUAGCAAAUCCCAUAAACCGUGGCUCAGUUCAGAUCGUAGGCUGCAACUCGCCUACGUGAAGGAGGAAUCGCUAGUAAUCGCAGGUCAGCAUACUGCGGUGAAUACGUUCCCGGGCCUUGUACACACCGCCCGUCACACCAUGGAAGUUGGCCACGCCCGAAGUCGUUACUCCAACC
rnacentral:rRNA from 1 species